rnacentral:pre_miRNA from 1 species
CAUGUACUCCCUCCGUCCGAAAAUACUUGUCAUUGAAAUGGAUGUAUCUAGAUAUAUUUUAGUUCUAGAUACAUUCAUUUUUCCAUUUUGAUGACAAGUAUUUUCGAACGGAGGGAGUAUGAA